rnacentral:rRNA from 1 species
UACGAAGGGGGCUAGCGUUGCUCGGAAUUACUGGGCGUAAAGGGAGCGUAGGCGGGUUAUCAAGUUGGAGGUGAAAGCCCAGGCUCAACCUUGGAAUUGCCUUCAAAACUGAUAGCCUAGAGUAUGAUAGAGGUAAGUGGAACUCCGAGUGUAGAGGUGAAAUUCGUAGAUAUUCGGAAGAACACCAGUGGCGAAGGCGACUUACUGGAUCAUGACUGACGCUGAGGCUCGAAAGCGUGGGGAGCAAACAGG